rnacentral:lncRNA from 1 species
AAUCACUUUAUUUAUUUUAUUUUAUUUUGUUUUUUGAGAUAGAGUCUCAGACUGUUGCCCAGGCUGGAGUGCAGUGGCAUGAUCUCGGCUCACUGCAACCUCCACCUCCUGGAUUCAAGCGAUUUUCCUGUGUCAGCCUCCCGCGUAGCUGGGAUUACAGGCACGUACCACCGGGUCCAGCUAAUUUUUUGUAUGUUUAGUAGAGGCGGGGUUUCACCCUGUUGGCCAGGCUGCUCUUGAAUUCCCAUCUCAGGUGACCCACCUGCCUUGGCCUCCCAAAGUGCUGGGAUUACAGCCAUGAGCCACUGUGCCCUGCCCAAAUAACCUGACUUAGAAAUGACCAAAGGCCCUAAAUAGACAUUUCUCAAAAGAAGAAGUACAAAUGGCCAACAGGUAUAUGAAAAAAAAAUGCUCAAUACCACUAAUCAUCAGGGAAAUGCAAAGUAAAACCACAAUGAGCCAUUAUGGUAAACCAAUAAUACAGCCAUUAUGGAGGUUCCUCACAAAAUUAAAAAUAGAACUGCCACACAAUCUAGCAAUUCCGCUACUGGAAAUAUAUCCAAAAGAUAUUAAAUCAGUAUGUUAAAGAGAUAUCUGCACUCCCCACAUUCAAUGCAGCAUUAUUCACAAGAUUAGUGGCAUCUAUCUAAGUGUCCACCAGUGCAUGAAUAAAGAAAAUGUGGUAUAUAUCCACAAUAAAAUGCUAUUCAGCCUUAUAAAUGAAAGAAAUCCUGUCAUUUCCAACAACAUGGAUGAACCUGGAGUGCAUUAUGUUACAUGAAAUAAACCAGGCAUUGAAGGACAAAUAAGCACAUGAGCUCACUUAUAUGUGGAGUGUAAAAAAACUCAAAUUCAUAGAAACAGAGAGUAAAUGGAGGUUACCAGAGACUGGGGGUUGGGAAAACUUGGCAGAUAUGGCCAAGAGAUCCAACAUUUUUGUUAGACAUGAGGAAUAAGUUCAAGAGCUCUAUCAUACAUCAUGGUCAUGACAAUUAACAGCAAUAUAUCAAUAUCUGAUAAUUGUUAGUAGAGUAGAUUUUAAGUGUUCUCACUACAAAAAAGUAUGUCAGGUGAUGCAUGUGUUAAAUAGCUUG